GUGUAUUGGUUGAAUUCUGAGACAUUUUGAUAUAAAAAGUAGACAUAUCAAAUAUAUCUCUUCUCCAAAACUCUUCCUUUCAUUAUCCUUCGGUUCUCUUUGUUGUUCACAGGUGAAAGGUUGUCUCUGUGUUUGUUUAGGGGAGAAAUGAGUGACCCCAAGUAUGCAUAUCCCUACCCUGCACAAGGUCAAGGCUAUUAUCAAGGACCCCCAGUAAUGGCACCUCCACAGUAUGGUGCUCCACCACCCAGAAGAGAAGCAGGUUUUCUUGAGGGAUGUCUAGCGGCUCUCUGUUGCUGUUGCCUCAUUGACGAAUGUUGCUGCGACCCUUCCAUCAUCUUUGUGUGCUAAUCAUCCUGUAAUAGUGUAAUCUCAUGCAGUCCAAUAAUUUCCCACUUAUAAAUCUAGUGUAAUUGAAGGUAUUCGUACAUGUUGGAUCGAUAACUUAUGUUUUAUUUGGUUUCAAUUCCCACUUAUCUUUUAUUUGGUUUAA